UUUCAAUGAUGAUAACUUUCCAGUUCUGCUACUGAAUGCAAGUGAUGUAAAGUGAAGACUGAGAGAGA
ensembl:snoRNA small nucleolar RNA SNORD38